GCCUACGGGGGGCAGCAGUAGGGAAUUUUCGUCAAUGGGCGCAAGCCUGAACGAGCAAUGCCGCGUGAACGAGGAAGGUCUUCGGAUCGUAAAGUUCUGUUGAAGGGGAAAAAGAGCGGAGAGAGGAAAUGGUCUCCGAUUGAUAUUACCCUUCGAGGAAGUCACGGCUAACUACGUGCCAGCAGCCGCGGUAAUACGUAGGUGGCGAGCGUUAUCCGGAAUGAUUGGGCGUAAAGGGUGCGUAGGCGGCCUGCUAAGUCUGGAGUGAAAGGUACCGGCGCAACCGGUACAGGGUCUGGAAACUG
rnacentral:rRNA from 1 species